CCUACGGGAGGCAGCAGUGAGGAAUAUUGGUCAAUGGACGAGAGUCUGAACCAGCCAAGUAGCGUGAAGGAUGACUGCCCUAUGGGUUGUAAACUUCUUUUAUAAAGGAAUAAAACGAGGCACGUGUGCCUUUUUGCAUGUACUUUAUGAAUAAGGAUCGGCUAACUCCGUGCCAGCAGCCGCGGUAAUACGGAGGAUCCGAGCGUUAUCCGGAUUUGUUGGGUUUAAAGGGAGCGUAGAUGGGUUGUUAAGUCAGUUGUGAAAGUUUGCGGCUCAACCGUAAAAUUGCAAUUGAUACUGGCAGUCUUGAGUACAGUUGAGGUAGGCGGAAUUCGUGGUGUAGCGGUGAAAUGCUUAGAUAUCACGAAGAACCCCGAGUGCGAAGGCAGCUUACUAAACUGUGACUGACAUUGAUGCUCGAAAGUGUGGGUAUCAAACAGGAUUAGAUACCCGAGUAGUC
rnacentral:rRNA from 1 species